CCUACGGGUGGCUGCAGUGGGGAAUAUUGCACAAUGGGGGAAACCCUGAUGCAGCAACGCCGCGUGGGUGAAGAAGUAUUUCGGUAUGUAAAGCCCUUUCAGCAGGGAAGAGAAUGACGUUACGUGUCUGAGAAGCCCCGGCUAACUACGUGCCAGCAGCCGCGGUAAUACGUAGGGGGCAAGCGUUAUCCGGAUUUACUGGGUGUAAAGGGAGCGUAGACGGUUGGGCAGGCCUGAAGUGAAAGCCCGCGGCUCAACUGCGGAACGGCUUUGGAAACUGGGUGACUGGAGUGCGGGAGAGGCAAGCGGAAUUCCUGGUGUAGCGGUGAAAUGCGUAGAGAUCAGGAGGAACACCGGCGGCGAAGGCGGCUUACUGGACCGUAACUGACGUUGAGGCUCGAAAGCGUGGGGAGCAAACAGGAUUAGAUACCCCAGUAGUC
rnacentral:rRNA from 1 species